rnacentral:tRNA from 1 species
GGGUGCUUAGCUCAGCCGGUAGAGCGGCGCCUUUACAAGGCGUAGGUCGGGGGUUCGAAACCCUCAGCACCCACCA